GCGGAAUGCUCUACCAUGCAAGUCGAACGGUAGAGGGGGCAACCCCUUGAGAGUGGCGAACGGGUGAGUAAUGUAUCGGAACGUGCCCAGUCGUGGGGGAUAACGUAGUGAAAAUUACGCUAAUACCGCAUACGAUCUAUGGAUGAAAGCGGGGGAUCGCAAGACCUCGCGCGAUUGGAGCGGCCGAUAUCAGAUUAGGUAGUUGGUGGGGUAAAGGCUCACCAAGCCAACGAUCUGUAGCUGGUCUGAGAGGUCGACCAGCCACACUGGAACUGAGACACGGUCCAGACUCCUACGGGAGGCAGCAGUGGGGAAUUUUGGACAAUGGACGCAAGUCUGAUCCAGCCAUUCCGCGUGCGGGACGAAGGCCUUCGGGUUGUAAACUGCUUUUGUACGGAACGAAAAAGCUCUUAUUAAUACUAGGAGUCCAUGACGGUACCGUAAGAAUAAGCACCGGCUAACUACGUGCCAGCAGCCGCGGUAAUACGUAGGGUGCAAGCGUUAAUCGGAAUUACUGGGCGUAAAGCGUGCGCAGGCGGUUAUAUAAAACAGAUGUGAAAUCCCCGAGCUUAACUUGGGAACUGCAUUUGUGACUGUAUAACUAGAGUACGGCAGAAGGGGAUGGAAUUCCGCGUGUAGCAGUGAAAUGCGUAAAUAUGCGGAGGAACACCGAUGGCGAAGGCAAUCCCCUGGGCCUGUACUGACGCUUAUUCACCAAAGCGUGGGGAGCAAACAGGAUUAAAUACCCUGGUAGUCCACGCCCUAAACGGGGUCAACUGGUUGUUG
rnacentral:rRNA from 1 species